rnacentral:misc_RNA from 1 species
GAUGAAGAACGCAGCGAAAUGCGAUAAGUAAUGCGAAUUGCAGAAUUUCCGUGAGUCAUCGAAUCUUUGAACGCACAUUGCGCCCACUGGUAUUCCGGUGGGCAUGCCUGUUCGAGCGUCAUUACAACCCUCAAGCUCAGCUUGGUGUUGGGCCCCGCCGCCCCGGCGGGCCCUAAAGUCAGUGGCGGUGCCGUCCGGCUCCGAGCGUAGUAAUUCUUCUCGCUCUGGAGGUCCGGUCGUGUGCUCGCCAGCAACCCCCAAUUUUUUUCAGGUUGACCUCGGAUCAGGUAGGGAUACCCGCUGAACUUAAGCAUAUCAAUAAGCGGAGGA